GCUCAUCAGUCAUCCAGUUUGUGACCCGAGCCAAAGUGAAAGUGGAUGCUACUCUCAGGGUGGUGGAAAUAGCCAACGGGAACCCAGAAGAGGUCAUGGUGGUCUUUGAAGCGCUGCACAAUUUGGAGCCUCGUGGUUAUGUUGUGGGCUGGAUUAUUGCCAUCAGCUUGCUGGUGGGCAUCCUCAUCUUUUUGUUACUGGCCGUGCUCUUGUGGAAGAUGGGCUUCUUUCGCAGAAGGUACAAAGAAAUUAUUGAAGCUGAGAAAAACCGGAAAGAGAAUGAAGACAGUUGGGACUGGGUCCAGAAAAGCCAGUGAGGCACCAUGCAACCCACCACCGGUCACGUGCCGCCAUGCCUGCUCACCUCUUGUCCCUGUUCUUUGUAUCUUCCAUAUGUGGAAGAAGGAAUCUUCUCCAGAUUUUUCGGAGGCCCGUCGAUGCAGUCUUGUUCCUCGUUCUACCAAUCAAGGGAGCAGAUCCCGAGGCCACCCCUGCAGCGCUGGCACGUGACCUGAGCAGCGCACCGAGGCUGGAACGGGUGAAUCAUGAACUCCAGAGAGCAAGCUGUGUGCUGAGCAAUAUUUAUGAGUCCAACGUAUGUGGUAAACCCUCAGGGGAAGACUUGCCUAGAAGUAUUUUUUAUAAAUACAAGCCUUUUAUACUGAUUAUGUCUUUAUAUUUGUAUCAAUGUUUUAUUAUUUCUAUUAAAUAGCUAUAUAGUUCACUCAAGCACUGAUUUCUGGCUGAAACCUGGGAGAUACAUAUAUAUGUAUGUGUGUGUGUGUGUAUAUAAAUAUAUUUUAAAAACCUA